UGCGGUGGAUACCUAGGCACCCAGAGACGAGGAAGGGCAUAGCAAGAGACGAAAUGCUUCAGGGAGUUGAAAGUAAGCAUAGAUCCGGAGAUUCCCAAAUAGGUCACCCUUUUAAACUGUCUACUGAAUCCAUGAGCAGGCAAGAGACAACCUGGCGAACUAAAACAUCUUAGUAGCCAGAGGAAAAGAAAGCAGAAGCGAUUCCUGUAGUAGCGGCGAGCGAAACUGGAGCAGCCUAAACCGUGAGAAUGGGGUUGUGGGAGAGCAAUACAAGCGUUGUGCUACUAGGCGAAGCGGUUGAGUGUCGCACCCUAGAUGGCUAAAGUCCAAUAGCUGAAAGCAUCACUAGCUUACACUCCGACCCGAGUAGCAUGGGGCACAUGGAAUCCCGUGUGAAUCAGCAAGGACCACCUUGCAAGGCUAAAUACUCCUAGGUGACCAAUAGCGAAGUAGUACCGUGAGGGAAAGGUGAAAAGAACCCCUAGUGGGUAGUGAAAUAGAACAUGAAACCGUG
rnacentral:ncRNA from 1 species